UACGUAGGGUGCGAGCGUUGUCCGGAAUUAUUGGGCGUAAAGAGCUCGUAGGCGGUGUGUCACGUCGUUCGUGAAAACCUGCAGCUUAACUGUGGGCGUGCGGUCGAUACGGGCAUCACUGGAGUUCGGCAGGGGAGACUGGAAUUCCUGGUGUAGCGGUGAAAUGCGCAGAUAUCAGGAGGAACACCGGUGGCGAAGGCGGUUCUCUGGGCCUGUACUGACGCUGAGGAACGAAAGCGUGGGGAGCGAACAGG
rnacentral:rRNA from 1 species